UACGUAGGGGGCGAGCGUUAUCCGGAUUUAUUGGGCGUAAAGCGUGUGUAGGCGGUUUAUUAAGUUUAAGAUCUAAGCCCGAGGCUUAACCUCGGUUCGUUUUAAAAACUGGUAGACUUGAGUGUGGUAGAGGUAAGUGGAAUUUCUAGUGUAGCGGUUAAAUGCGUAGAUAUUAGAAGGAACACCAGUGGCGAAGGCGACUUACUGGGCCAUUACUGACGCUGAGACACGAAAGCGUGGGGAGCAAAUAGGAUUAGAUACCC
rnacentral:rRNA from 1 species